UGGCCAGUCAGGCAUCUGGAGGGACCAGAGGUAGGGACAAAUCCUGGGCGGAGGUUGACCUGCCUGCCUGGCCCCAACCUGGGACCAAGUUGAGAGAGCCUGGCGUCAGUUCUGCAGCAUAGGCUGUGGAAGCUGAUCCCCCCCCCCAUCCCUAGCCAGACCAGUCUGCGGACCUGACCUGCCUCACUCUUGAGGGUCAGGACCUAGCAUCUGUAGUUUCCCCAGAUUCUGAGUGCAGAGGACCUGGGUCCGUGUGCUAUGCUGGUUACUGUACCCACAUCACUACAGGUACUGGUGAGCAGGGGUACUGCCAAAGUUUCUUUCUUUGUGAAGAUGGCACCACCAGGUCUGUGCAAACUUUGGGCAUUGAGGGCGUGGCGGCUGGGGGUGCACAUUGGCCUUGUGUGUCAGUGUGUAUCUGUGGGUCAAGCCAGGCUAAGCUGAGAGGCCAGCAGACGAUUCCUGUUGAGACUGAGUUGGGGUGGGGCUGUGCAGUUCAUAUCAGCUACGUCUGGUGUGAGAGUUGGGCACGACAGAUUUGAGGUAGAGUCUAGGGUCCCCAGGCAACCCCCCCCGGCUCCCACCCCCAUUUCAGGACCCUUCUAUAGGUGGCGGCCUGGCUGGCUUGGAGGUCUCAAGAGCUGCAGGAACCUCAGACCAUGAACCCAUGAGCUUAGGGAACAAAGGCUGGCGCCUCAGUGCAGCUCCCAAAGCCGCCUGUCCACAUUCCAAUGCCAGUAAAGAGGCCUGGCUCUUGGCCCACAGCUGUGUUGGCUGGGAGGGCUGAGCCAUUGCUGUCCUCGGCCACUAAGUGGUCCUUCAGAACUGCUCAGCACCAGUGUCUGAAGGAGCUAUCAUGGAAGGAAGCACGUGCCGUGGAGAACUCAGGCCUUUCAUGGACCCCUAUCCUAUGAUUCCUGGAUUUUCAGCUCUGCAACCUGGGUUUGGGGGGUAGAGCCAGGCCUCUUGCCUGAUGUCCACACUUACACAUGUAUGCUGGGCAGCCUCAUCUCUAGAAUACCCCCCAGAAAAAAAACGGCUGGAAAAGGUCAUGGCUGCUGCAAGCAUUAUAACCCUGUCUACCAGCCCCCUCUGUGUGGGGGGCCCAGCUGUCACGUUUAGUUCAGGUGAGACUCAGAAACCUAUGCUCGAGUAUGGGCUGGGCAAGGUCCAAAACUUCUGGGUUUUGUUUUUGUAUUUUUGGUUUUUUUUUUUUUUUUUUUUUGCUUGUUUUGUUUUUCCAGGACAAUGAAGCCUCUAAGCCUCUAUGGAACAAGCAGUGCCCUCAAACCUGAUGUGCCACCUUCUAAGCUUGCCUCUUGGACUCUCUAAGAGAUAUCUGGGUCCUGAGUGCCCCUAACUGAGGCCACUUGGCUGGCCAUGCUGCUUCCUGGUUAUGCCAAACAUCCCUACCUUGUGCUGGAGAGGCCUUUUCCUGAGUCUCUGGGGCCAGAUUCUGCUAGCUGCCCCUAUUCCUCAAAGCUCACCUGAACAGCUGGCAACUCAUAAUCAGAGACUUGGAGCACCAGCAUGUCUGCAAAGCAGCUUGAGCCUUCCGAGCUCCCGUGUGGAAUUUCCCUGCAGAAAUCUGGCUUGGAGCCCUGGAAGGAAGCCGUGGUUCAUCCUCCAGGCAGCUACAGCAGUAGCAGUAACAGAGGAGACUGGGGCUAGGAUCUGACCAGCAGCCAGUCUUCUCCAUCCACUCCAUUACCCCUGCUGCCUCCUGAAGCAGCCCACUUUCUGCUUGGGGAGCCCACUCUGAGAAAAAAACAAGAACUCAUUCAGGUCGUAUUCCAGUGCCUAUAGAAGAGCUGUGGGAAGGUGUUGCACACAGUGUCUGGGAUGCAGAGACAUAGCCACUUGGUGCACCUGGGAUGUGGUAGGACUGGAAACUUGGCCAGGGUGGGGUCAGGCCUCACCAAAACUUUUAAGCCCUCACAUCUGCUCCUUGCAGGAGGCAGACAGCCAGUGUAGAGUGAGAACAAGGAGGACUUCACUACACGGAGCUCUAUGUUGGCGUGGCCGUGCUGCCUAAUGGGUUGUUCAGCCUGACCCCAGUGUCUCCUAUCGUCCUCAUGCCACUCACCUUUCCUCAUCUGGAGCUCCCAGAGUUGCUGGAACCCCCCCCCCCCCCCCCCGCUCUUCCCAACCUGUUACAGCCAGCUCUUUGUCUCUGCCUCCUAAGCUCAGCUGUUCAGCUGUUCCACAGGCAUGCCACAGUGACCAUGCCGAUCAGCCAAGUGAGGCCACAGACAGAGAUUGGGGUCAAGUCUCAGAGCACUCUGGAGAGAAACAGUACAGGGGUUGUGGCUCAUUCCAGAGCUGUCUGGCCACCUGGAGCCACAGGCCAGGGCCUACAUACCAGCCCUGCCUGCCAAGCUCAGGGCCAAUCCAAGGUGUGUGUAGUUUGAGGGGCUGGGCAUGUAAUACAUGGUAAAGGUCUCAGCUGACAAUUCUCCAUACCCCAUGCAUGUCCCUCCAGGAAGCGCCAAAAAGUUGGUGCCAAAAAGUGCCAGAGAGUUUAUAGCAUGGGACCCAUGGUGCUCAGUUUGCUGCUGGAAGAAAGCCUGCUAGCAGUUUCUGGACUGAGCCAAUCUGUGAUGCUACUGCUUGGCCUUCUUCUCACGCCUAACCUGAACCUACAGCAAACCUGUGGUGGGAUGUGACUCCGGGGGGUGGAGGGGUGACUGAAUACUCAAGUGCCUUGGAAGAAACCAGAAACCAAACUGCUUGUUGUCCUUUGACUUCAGGGGCAGUUUGCCUCCCUGUCUGUCACUUAGCUACUUGUCAAAGAUGUCAGUGGACCCCACUAGAGCCUGUUUAAGAUGCACUUUGAGAGGGGUCAAGGAGAGAGGAGUCUCGUGCUCACAUUUAAGGCAGUGAUUCCAGGACCGUGGGGCUGACAUUUUACCAUGUUAAUGAAGCUCAGGUGUCUUGUGUCUUGGCCACAGGAGUUGAGAAGAAAAAUUAAAAAUUUUGAGGAUUG
rnacentral:lncRNA from 1 species